rnacentral:lncRNA from 1 species
UUUUUUUGCACCCUUUCACCUAGAGAAGGCAAAACCCUGCACAUAUGCCAAGCCACAAUGGUCUCAACAGGCUCUUGCUAAUCCUGCACCUGCCCAGAUAUGCAGUGCCAUGUGCAGGGUCACCAGAAGCCACAGGACCUGCCUGUCCCGAGUUGUCCUACCCAAUCCCUCGAAUUGCUGUGUUUUUGUCAUCUACAAAGGAACGCUCAAUUUCUUGUCGCUCAAAUGGAUGCGAAACCACAUGAAUUGUAUCAUUGCUAUAUCAUUAAGGUUGUAUCAGCAUUAUUUAAAAUCGGAAUAUUUGGAAUUCAACUUUAAAUACAUGGUGUGGCUGAGAUUUUCCCUGGAAAUGGCCCUUAGGAAAAUGAUUCAUUCUGGAAGGAAUUUUAUGCUGACAGAAAAAGAAAUGCUUAUACACCUGAGUGACUACAGGAAGGUGAUACAUGUGUUGCCCCUCAGCUAACAAUGAUGUCUGAAUUAAAUACUAUCAACUGCUGCCAGGGUCCACUGGAUUUUGCCAUUUCAAAUAAAAGCUUGUUGUGACCUUCUAGUCUCUCUAUAAAAGACAUUGCUUGCUCCCAAGCUCCUAUCUCCAUGCCUUUUCACAUACACUCAUUCUUGCCUCCUGCUUGCAAGGCCUGCUGCCCAUACCCACACGGAGAUGAUUACAUGUGGACAACUUUGACAUUUAGAUGUUCCUCCACCUUGGUACUAACAAGAAAAAUGGGUAUUUUAUUUCCUGAUGUGGCAUCUUGAGCAUCUGGAUGUAUCUCUGAUGGUCAGUGCGUGUCCGUGUCAGCAUAAGCUCGGAGAAGGCACAGGCUCCGGGGCAGACCCUCAGGCAGGAGAGCCCGCGCGGUGCGGACCACGCCAGCCCGUGGCUCGGAUGCACCUGAGCUGAGGUGACCGCGGGUGAAGCCGCCCGGGCCGGCACACACUGGGGCGGCACAGCCGAUGCCACCCAGCCCCUUGCAGGAGCUCAGAGCCAGCGACCGGGCCAGGGCUGGCGCAAAGCAAGCGACGCCACGGCCCGCCGCGCCCCCCGCCCCUCACCUGCCGCCGAACUCAGGGCGACCCUCCGGUGCCUCCGGCCGAGCUCCCGCAGCUCCUCCUCGUCCUCCUCCAGCCUCCAGGCUUCAGCCAUCGGCGGCAGGGGGGCGGCUGACAGCAUUCAAGAAGCGGGGGCUGCCAUGUCCGCUCCCCUCAGCACGGCGGCCCGGGCCUGCCCCGCACCUGCGCCCUCUCCGCCCCGCUUCUCCUGGCGGGCUUUCAGCGCGGCCCGCUCCGCGCUCCUGCCGGCGGGGCGAGCGGGGCCGAGGCGGGAGCCAGCGGGCUGGAGCAGAGGCGGCGGUGGCGGCCUUUCCUGCCCAUCCGCGGCUCUCCGGCGUCAGCAGGAAACCCGGCGGCCGCCCGGCACCGCCACAAAAGG